rnacentral:antisense_RNA from 1 species
CCCAGCAGAUGACCUGUACUUCUCUGCUCUCUCCCCUACUGCAAAGAGGCAGCGAGUGCAGCAUUAGUAAGCCUGACUCAGGGGAAGGUAAGUGGCCUGCAGAGAAAUGGUCCUAGGUCCGCAACUGAGGCGAGUGAACUUGUCGGACAGAUGAAGACUCUAACUGGAAGAAACAAUCAGCGCAUUCACGGAUGCACCACCAUCCAGAAAUCUCCCGGUGGCUUCCAUACAAAAACUGAUGUUUCUAAAGAUGGAAAGAACAGGUCUAGGAGGCAGAAGAGUAUCUCCUAGCAAAGUGUUCUGUAGCUCAAAGGUCAGGAGCACGUCUUUGAAUUCCUCGCAGACGAUGUAUCCAUCAGUCCUGUGGGGACACAACGCGAUGUCAACCCUCGAACCUGCUGCCUGCUCUGCCUCUCCUCCCUCCCCAGUUUGCGGAAGACAGUGGGCCACAUCUGAGCACUAGGGGGUCCUGAAGGAUGUCGCGGGUCAGCCAGUGUCCCACACCCUCCGUGCAGAAGGCAGGCCUGUGGAAACUGGCACUGCCUCUUCCUCCCCAGAUUCUGCCGAAGAAAGCUGGGGUGAAAGCCCUUAUCCAGCCUCACCCAUCAUGGAACAGAGCUCACUAACCAGGCAGCUGCCGGGGAAAGAUGCUGACUGUUUUUUUGCUCACUAGCCUGUGAGUCCCUAAACCUGGGAAGAACGUUUUAAUCCAGCAUUACGAUGCCGGUUUCAUUGGCUCCGUUCCCUCUGGAGGGAAGCCAGAAUUGGUAAAGCACUGACUUUGCAAAUCCAGUGUAACAUCCUGAAAAUUGGAGCCACCAGGCCUCAACUCCCAGCAGCCCCAUGCCAGCUUUCCAUCCCCAUCUCUGGAGCCACCCCUCCCCAUCCCUGUGUUUAGCCUCCAUUGAAGGCCCCUCACGCACACGGGAUGGGAGUAGCCGCCAUGGAAAUCAAAGCCAGUGAUGGCCUGGACACAGUCGAUGUCCAGCUUGCGGGCCACGCGGUGUAGAUUGGGCAGGUUCAGCUGGACACAGCCAAUAGGCAUCAUGCUGGGCAGGAAGAGAUGAACACCACAGACGGGGUAAAUGAUUUGCCUAAAGUCACACAGCUCGUAAGGGCCAGAGCCCGCACUUUCAUCCACUAGCCUAUAUUCUGUGCUGUCAUCACUGAUAGCAGUGACUGAGACUGAGAGACAAAGUCACUUAAGAGCUGAUGGCUGCUACUAAAAAUUUUAAAUGUGUGGCUCACGUUACAUUUCAACUGAACACUGCUAUGCUGGUUCCAGCACGAAAGACAGGUGAGAUGGUGCAGAGAAAAUCCUCAGCAACCCUGCAGGCCCAGGCAGGGGGCAUCACCCACUCCAGCCUGCUGCUGGCAGUGACUGUGACCAGCGCCUGCAGCCUUUCCCACUAAGCGGAGGCCCCUCCACUCCCCACUCAGCUUCCCGGAGUCUUGCAACCCCCAAGGACUCCCGGGGUCUGAUGAGAAGUAAAUGGUCUCUGUGAUCGGCCACUGU